UACGAAGGGGGCUAGCGUUGCUCGGAAUUACUGGGCGUAAAGCGCGCGUAGGUGGUUUGUUAAGUUGGAUGUGAAAGCCCCGGGCUCAACCUGGGAACUGCAUUCAAAACUGACAAGCUAGAGUAUGGUAGAGGGUGGUGGAAUUUCCUGUGUAGCGGUGAAAUGCGUAGAUAUAGGAAGGAACACCAGUGGCGAAGGCGACCACCUGGACUGAUACUGACACUGAGGUGCGAAAGCGUGGGGAGCAAACAGG
rnacentral:rRNA from 1 species